rnacentral:rRNA from 1 species
CAGAGGCGAUGAAGGACGUACUAACUUGCGAUAAGCGCAGAUAAGGCAGUAAGAGCCGUUUGAGUCUGCGAUUUCCGAAUGGGGAAACCCAACUGCAUAAGCAGUUACUGUUAACUGAAUACAUAGGUUAACAGAGCAAACCGGGGGAACUGAAACAUCUAAGUACCCCGAGGAGAAGAAAUCAACCGAGAUUCCGGUAGUAGCGGCGAGCGAACCUGGAUUAGCCCUUAAGCACUCGGUGAAGUAGGUGAACAAGCUGGAAAGCUUGGCGAUACAGGGUGAUAGCCCCGUAACCGACGCUUCAUCGAGCGUGAAAUCGAGUAGGGCGGGACACGUGAUAUCCUGUCUGAAUAUGGGGGGACCAUCCUCCAAGGCUAAAUACUCCUGACUGACCGAUAGUGAACCAGUACCGUGAGGGAAAGGCGAAAAGAACCCCUGUGAGGGGAGUGAAAUAGAACCUGAAACCGUGUACGUACAAGCAGUAGGAGCACCUUCGUGGUGUGACUGCGUACCUUUUGUAUAAUGGGUCAGCGACUUAUAUUCAGUGGCAAGGUUAACCGUAUAGGGGAGCCGUAGCGAAAGCGAGUCUUAACUGGGCGCUCAGUCUCUGGAUAUAGACCCGAAACCGGGUGAUCUAGCCAUGGGCAGGUUGAAGGUUGAGUAACAUCAACUGGAGGACCGAACCGACUAAUGUUGAAAAAUUAGCGGAUGACUUGUGGCUAGGGGUGAAAGGCCAAUCAAACUCGGAGAUAGCUGGUUCUCCCCGAAAGCUAUUUAGGUAGCGCCUCGGACGAAUACUACUGGGGGUAGAGCACUGUUAAGGCUAGGGGGUCAUCCCGACUUACCAACCCUUUGCAAACUCCGAAUACCAGUAAGUACUAUCCGGGAGACACACGGCGGGUGCUAACGUCCGUCGUGGAGAGGGAAACAACCCAGACCGCCAGCUAAGGUCCCAAAGUAUUGCUAAGUGGGAAACGAUGUGGGAAGGCUCAGACAGCUAGGAUGUUGGCUUAGAAGCAGCCAUCAUUUAAAGAAAGCGUAAUAGCUCACUAGUCGAGUCGGCCUGCGCGGAAGAUGUAACGGGGCUAAGCA